GCUGGGUAUGGUGGUGCAUGCCUGUAAUCCCAGCUACUCAGGAGGCUGAGGCAGAGAACUGCUUGAACCCAGGAGGCUGAGGUUGCAGUGAGCCAAGAUCAUGACACUGUACUUCAGUCUGGGCAACACAGCCGGACUCUGCCUCAA
ensembl:misc_RNA Metazoa_SRP Metazoan signal recognition particle RNA